rnacentral:lncRNA from 1 species
UAUUCUCUUACUCUAAAUUAUGCAGCAAUAUAGUUUAUCAUAUACUACCAUUAUCAUUGAGUAAAUUAGUGUCAGUUACCACCUCUAGAAUACCACCAACACUCCAACACAGAAAAUAUCUAAUCUCUUGCUGUAACAGAAAAUAAUUUCAUCCUAACCUUCAAAUUGUUAGGCCACGCUUUGCAAGACUAUCAGAACCUCAAAACUUGAUUGAUACCAUUGAUCAAUACCGAGUAUCU